CCAGGUAGCCCUGGCUACCAUUAUACUGAGCACAAACCAACCCUGUCAGAGGACACUGCCCCUUGUUUAUAAAUUUGGGUUCUAGAAAAAAACCCCGAUGCUGUUUUUGGAGCCAUGUGAUGGGACUGCUGGAAACCAGGCAGGGAAAGGCAAUGGCAGGCACACUUCCAGUUUGGGGGCAUCAGGCACUGUGACAGCGAGGAUGGCGCAAGGGUGAGUGGGGAGCUGCCCUGCAGGGGUCUGAGAUCACCAGGCAGAAGCUAGGCUGGGAUAGGGCGGGAAACGCAUUACACGACAAAGAUUAGAUUGCAGGGGCCCCAGCCUUCUAAUGCCCCUCCUGCUCUCUGAAGCUCCCUCCACAGACUCCUCCACCCCAGAACCUUCUGACAGGUAUGUCUAGAGGUCAGUUUGGACAGGGACAGGAACUUCUAGACAUGUUUUUCUGGGUGAACGAGAUAAGCGGAGAAAUCACCUACCCCCCGCAGAAGGCAGAUGCACCUGCUGUUUCUCCUGAGAGCCCACAAAAGACGCCCCCAUCUCAGCCCAGGAGUGUGCAGGAGGCUCCUUGCAGUCCCCAGGGCCCGCCUGCACAGAGGCCUGCCCUUGCACCUCCAUCUAAGCCUUCUUUGAAAGACUCAGGCUCAAGAAGCCCCUGCCCAUCUGCACCGACCUGGGGCCAGGCCAAAGCCGGAGGAGCGAGGAGCCCCCACCGUUCUCAGCAAUCCCUGUCACCAUCUCAUCACCAGGAGUGAUUCCGCCCAUACUCGGGCCCCUGGGACCAGCCCUUCAGACACCGGUCUCAACCUCUCCUCUCAGCCCUUCUGCACCCUGGGCCUUCACCUGCAAGCUGAACAAUGUCCUUACUGGGAAUAACUGGUUUUCCUUUUGAAUCUUAAGAAAAUUUGUCUGGCUACACUCUUUAAGCACCUUCCUGAGCCACCCGUGGCCAGGCUCUGCUGGCCGCAUCUGCCUGGCCCCAUCUACCUUCCCUGGAAGCACAGGACUCACCCCAGGAGUCUCACAGGAACAUGCACAAUGCUUUCAAACCCAGUAAAAUUUUACUUAGAUUUUGACAUAA